AUUGAACGCUGGCGGCAGGCCUAACACAUGCAAGUCGAACGGUAACAGGAAACAGCUUGCUGUUUCGCUGACGAGUGGCGGACGGGUGAGUAAUGUCUGGGAAACUGCCUGAUGGAGGGGGAUAACUACUGGAAACGGUAGCUAAUACCGCAUAACGUCGCAAGCCCAAAGAGGGGGACCUUCGGGCCUCUUGCCAUCGGAUGUGCCCAGAUGGGAUUAGCUAGUAGGUGGGGUAACGGCUCACCUAGGCGACGAUCCCUAGCUGGUCUGAGAGGAUGACCAGCCACACUGGAACUGAGACACGGUCCAGACUCCUACGGGAGGCAGCAGCGGGGAAUAUUGCACAAUGGGCGCAAGCCUGAUGCAGCCAUGCCGCGUGUAUGAAGAAGGCCUUCGGGUUGUAAAGUACUUUCAGCGGGGAGGAAGGGAGUAAAGUUAAUACCUUUGCUCAUUGACGUUACCCGCAGAAGAAGCACCGGCUAACUCCGUG
rnacentral:rRNA from 1 species